GAAUUACAUAUCCUGCUCUAAAACUGCUCUGAACUCCAAAAGCAUUUAUAAAUUGGGAAGAAUGCAGAGAAGAUCCAUAAGAAUGAUGAAGCCUGGAAAACACUCUUCAUGGUGACAGAUUUAAGGAGCUGAAUGGAUUUAAUUUCUCAAAAGGAUGGCUAAGAAGUAACUUUAUUCCAGCUUAUAAACAGCUAUAGACAAAGCAGAAAUGAAACAAUACAGUUUGUCAAGCAAAGAUUUAUGAAGACUGGACAAAUUCAUCCUGAAAGAAAAGUGUAUGAUGUUCCUCAUAGCAAGGUUUGCAUACGUCCAUGUCACUACCUGAAUUUCUCCUUCCAGCCCACCACUGAAACACGUGGUAUCCAACCACACAUCUGGAAAACAAGGUUAUACCUACCUGAGUGCAUGGACUGAGGGCAGCAGGGAGAAGACUGACUUUAGCAGGAUGGGUGCAAUACAGUCUCUCCCUUCUCCCAGUGCCCUAGAAUCACCUUGGACAUGGU